CCUACAUCGGAGAGUGUAUGCUCUCCCUGACGAGUCCAAAAGGACGAAAUGUAAA
rnacentral:hammerhead_ribozyme from 2 species